rnacentral:rRNA from 1 species
GACGUAGGGUGCAAGCGUUGUCCGGAUUUACUGGGCGUAAAGAGCGCGUAGGCGGUCCAUUAAGUGUGAAGCUAAAUCUCCCGGCUCAACCGGGGAACUAUUUCGCAUACUGAUGGGCUGGAGUGAUGCAGAGGUGGAUAGAAUUCCUGGUGUAGCGGUGAAAUGCGCAGAUAUCAGGAAGAACACCCGUGGCUAAGGCGGCUCUCUAGUACGGUACUGACGCUGAGACGCGAAAGCGUGGGGAGCGAACAGG